rnacentral:rRNA from 1 species
UAGAGCUUGAUCAUGGCUCAGAUUGAACGCUGGCGGCAGGCCUAACACAUGCAAGUCGAGCGGUAGCACAGGGAGCUUGCUCCUGGGUGACGAGCGGCGGACGGGUGAGUAAUGUCUGGGAAACUGCCCGAUGGAGGGGGAUAACUACUGGAAACGGUAGCUAAUACCGCAUAACGUCUUCGGACCAAAGUGGGGGACCUUCGGGCCUCACACCAUCGGAUGUGCCCAGAUGGGAUUAGCUAGUAGGUGAGGUAAUGGCUCACCUAGGCGACGAUCCCUAGCUGGUCUGAGAGGAUGACCAGCCACACUGGAACUGAGACACGGUCCAGACUCCUACGGGAGGCAGCAGUGGGGAAUAUUGCACAAUGGGCGCAAGCCUGAUGCAGCCAUGCCGCGUGUGUGAAGAAGGCCUUCGGGUUGUAAAGCACUUUCAGCGAGGAGGAAGGGUUCGGUGUUAAUAGCACCUGUUCAUUGACGUACU